rnacentral:snRNA from 1 species
UUGCUUCAGCAGCAUAUAUACUAAAAUUGAAAUGAGGCAGAGAAGAUUAGCAUGGCCCCUGUGCAAGGAUAACAUGGAAACUCCUGAAGUGUUCCAAAUUAUU